GGUAUGUAGCUCAAUGGUAAAGCAUUUGCCUAGUAUGCAUGAGGCACUGGGUUCAAUUCCCAGCUCCA
rnacentral:tRNA from 1 species